rnacentral:lncRNA from 1 species
UUCCUAUUUAAACUUUGUGAAGUUAAGGAAUUGCUGUGCAUGAAUGGUGUAAUAUAAACAAAAAAGGCAAUCGAUCUCAACUGAAACAUCACCUUUUUAUGGGUAGUAGAAAGUUUAGACGAUCUCUUCUUUUCCUAGCUUAUUGUUCCAUGUUUUCUUGCAUGUUGCUGGAUUAAUUCCUUGUUCAUUAUGCUUGCUCUUGCCAAGAGAUAUGCAAAUAUGCUGAUGUCUGUAGUUGCUCUAUGAAGUCAUUCAUGAUGUUGGAAGAAAGUAUAUUUUAUUCUGACAUCGAGCAGAAAAUUGUUUGCAUGUACAUAUCUGAUGCUACACAAUGAUGUUCAUGUUCAAUAAGGAAUGUUACUAAUAGUUUGUUUUGGUGUAGUAAAAGUAUGACAUUGCUAGUUGCAUUUUAUUCCUUUUUGUUUUUGCUUAUUGAAUUUUUUUAGUUGGUGCUACUAAAAAUAAAACCUUAUUAUAUCAUGGGCUCUCAUAUUUUGUUAUGAUAUAACCAUUAAAAAUCUAGAGAUUCUUGAUCUGUAUAUGUUUUAACAUGUGUAGAGAGGUCAU